rnacentral:tRNA from 1 species
CAAGGAAUAGUUUAUUAAAAAUUUUAAUUUUGGAGAUUAAAGAAGAGAAGCUUUUCUUUUCCUUGA